UACGUAGGUGGCAAGCGUUGUCCGGAAUUAUUGGGCGUAAAGCGCGCGCAGGCGGUCCUUUAAGUCUGAUGUGAAAGCCCACGGCUCAACCGUGGAGGGUCAUUGGAAACUGGGGGACUUGAGUGCAGAAGAGGAAAGCGGAAUUCCACGUGUAGCGGUGAAAUGCGUAGAGAUGUGGAGGAACACCAGUGGCGAAAGGCGGCUUUCUGGUCUGUAACUGACGCUGAGGCGCGAAAGCGUGG
rnacentral:rRNA from 1 species